ensembl:piRNA 21ur-2787 ncRNA
UGUCAAAUAAACAGUCGAAAA